UACGUAGGGUCCGAGCGUUGUCCGGAAUUAUUGGGCGUAAAGGGCUCGUAGGCGGCCAACUAAGUCAGACGUGAAAUCCCUCAGCUUAACUGGGGAACUGCGUCUGAUACUGGAUGGCUUGGAUCCGGGAGAGGGAUGCGGAAUUCCAGGUGUAGCGGUGAAAUGCGUAGAUAUCUGGAGGAAUACCGGUGGCGAAGGCGGCAUCCUGGACCGACAUUGACGCUGAGGAGCGAAAGCUAGGGGAGCAAACGGGG
rnacentral:rRNA from 1 species